rnacentral:snoRNA from 1 species
CGCAGCUAUGUCAAAUUCAGUGCUUCCUCUUUAGUAGGUUGCACUGGCCAAAAUGGCUGCUACAGUGACUCUGUAGUUCAUGGGCCCUGCAUUCUUCACCAUAGACUCUGGGGAUAAAUAUGCACUACAGACAAAA